UUUAGCGCUAGUUCUGGGUUAGGGAAUCCUAUCCCAGAGGACGAGGUGAAGGUUGUCGAGGAGUCAGCGGAUGCCUUCCGGCUGGUCCGGCCGAGAGAACCUGCCAAAAGCUUCAGCGUGAGUUGGAGGAGAGAGGC
rnacentral:ncRNA from 1 species